rnacentral:rRNA from 1 species
AGGGUUUGAUUCUGGCUCAGGACGAACGCUGGCGGCGUGCUUAACACAUGCAAGUCGAACGAGAAGUUCAUGACAGAUCCUUCGGGUGAAGAUAUGAAUGGACAGUGGCGAACGGGUGAGUAACGCGUAGGUAACCAACCUCAUGCAGGGGGAUAGCCCAGGGAAACUUGGAUUAAACCCGCAUAAGACCACAGCACCGCAUGGUGCAGAGGUAAAAACUCCGGUGGCAUGAGACGGACCUGCGUCUUAUUAGGUAGUUGGUGAGGUAACGGCUCACCAAGCCAACGAUGAGUAGCCGACCUGAGAGGGUGAUCGGCCACAUUGGGACUGAGACACGGCCCAG